GAGUUUGAUCUUGGCUCAGAUUGAACGCUGGCGGCAUGCCUUACACAUGCAAGUCGAACGGCAGCACGGGAGCUUGCUCCUGGUGGCGAGUGGCGAGCGGGUGAGUAAUGCAUCGGAACGUAUCCUGGAGUGGGGGAUAACGUAGCGAAAGUUACGCUAAUACCGCAUAUUCUGUGAGCAGGAAAGCGGGGGACCUUCGGGCCUCGCGCUCUUGGAGCGGCCGAUGUCGGAUUAGCUAGUUGGUGAGGUAAAGGCUCACCAAGGCGACGAUCCGUAGCAGGUCUGAGAGGAUGAUCUGCCACACUGGAACUGAGACACGGUCCAGACUCCUACGGGAGGCAGCAGUGGGGAAUUUUGGACAAUGGGGGCAACCCUGAUCCAGCCAUGCCGCGUGAGUGAAGAAGGCCU
rnacentral:rRNA from 1 species